AUCCCCAGGAGUGGAAGGAAAAAGAAGAACCUGAGGCCUCCCACUUGGUGCAGACCAGAUGUUUAACUCAAGAGAUGAUGACCGAGGCCGAAGCACUUUUCCCAUUAAAAGUGAGAUUGUUCUUUUCUUUCCAUAAAGCCCAUAACACAGCCACAAAACAGAGCUUCCGGACUAUUUUCUGUCUUCGUUUACAAGGAUGCAGUCUCUAGUCCACAACAAGCUACUGGAUAGUCUGUGACAUCACUCAUGCCAACUCAAACUGCAGAAAACACCAUCCCCAAACUGCUGUCCCAAAUGAACAGUGGAUGAAGAGAUGGUUGAAGUCCUCAGCAUUCCUAAGGCACAAACAACAUCCAUUAACCAAGAUCAUAUUCCUUCUACGAAGAUUGGUGGCAAUGGCUUGGUAGCCAGAUUUCGGGUGCAAAAAUUGGGAAAACAGUAGCUCAUUAAUGCCUAUUGCCAAUGCAAAUCGCAAAGUGUUGGUUCUUAAAUUAGACCAACCUCUAUUUGAUGCUACAUAUAGAUGCUACCUUACUCUUGGUCUUUUGUUGAAAUCUUCUAGGCUCAGAUUUUAGUGAUAACCAAUCUGGACAAAGCGGCGAAGGAUUUGCAAAUGUUGGAAAACUUAGAGAUUUUUGUUGAAUUUAAUGGUUGGUAUUUUACAAAUAGAAGCGAAUUGAGUUGCUAUAAAUUGGAAAUUUAAUGGUUGGUAAUUUGAAAAUCGAAUCUGUUAUAUCAUUGCGAAUACCUAAUUGAUUAACUAUAAAUUGGGAUAAGUUCGAUUCCUUUUGUUCGGAGCAUAUGCGAGUGAGUUAAACAAAUUUGGGAAGUAUGCUAUUGGGGCUAAUGCUUGUGCAGAUUAAGAUACUCAAAGAUUUUUGUGUUUUUCUGUGUUUGGGUUAUAAAGGUUUGAUUUCUUGGACUCGGGUGAGAUUCUCUUCAGAAUGUGAUCAAAAGAGCUAUGGUUCAAUGCCUUGGGUGUUCUAGAAUGGUUAUUCCUCUUUGUUUAAUGGGUAAUGGAUUGCUUGAGAUGUACUGAAUUGAAUUGUUUGUUAUUGCUUCUGUGCAUUUAGAUUUUCUGAUAUUAUUGAGGACUUUUGCAUUUGGGAUCUAAGAUCUCAGCUUCUUGGGUGGGUGAGAAAUUCUCAGGGAAAGAGAUGACAAGUUCUAACUAUGCUUUGAUUAGAGAAAUAGAUGUUUUCAUUGUUUUUUUUCUCUGCGAUGGGUAUGAUGUUACUGCUUGAGUUGAAUUGAAUUUUGGGGUUUGUUCUUUCACGAUCUAAGAUUUCUGGAGUUCUCUUCUGUCUUUUGAAUUUAUAACUGCUAAUGUUUUUGUUCCUCAGCUGGUAACAAGGAAUUAUCAUACAAAUGUAAUUGAAAUAGUUGAAAGUUUGUAACUUCGGGUUGUUUUUCGUUCUUUCUUCUUUUUGGAAAGAUGAGCAAGUUUUUAUUAGAAUAAAAAUGAAGCAAUGCAACAGCUACAUUGGCCAGGAAUCAGUGACCCUCUCAAAACUCUAAAAUCCCGAAGGCUACGGCUACCAAAAUGGCGAUAAAAUAGUGAAAACAUCACAUACAAUCCAUGAGAGCCAACUCAUGUGAAGAGAGCACCGUCUCAGCAUCAUGAAUUGGAUACUACCCUACUAUGGAAACCAGCCGUACAAUCGGUUAGCACCUUCCCAUCUGAAAAAAAUCAUGGAAUUCCGGACUAAUAGCUGCCCAUCCAAUAAUCAUAAAGGUAACAAUCUUCUUCAACAAUUCCAGUGUCUCUUGCUUGUUCUCAAAGAUUCUAAUUUUCCACUGUUGCUUGAAGUUAGAAAUCUUCUUCAAUAAUUCCAAUGCCGCUUGCUUAUUUUCAAAGAUUCUAAUGUUCCUUUCCUCCAUAUCCCCACAUUGUGAUGUAAGGGAGAAUUGUACUAUUAGUACAUCCUACUAAUAGUACUAUUGAUACUGAUAUAGUGAAAGAACUGCUGGUACAUUCGAGAUGCUAGGAAGGGGUGACCACUGAGACACAUCCACUCAUUGAUUCUGAUUGCUUAGAAACAGAUUCUAAGAGGCGGUCUCCAAUCCAAAGUGGGUCGAAGCUAUGAUGGAAGAGAUGGGGGCAUUGAUGAAAAAUGGCAUGUGAGAGCUGGUAAAGGUACCUAAAGGAAAGGAGCCAAUGGUUUGAAAAUGGGUCUUCACAGUGAAACACAAGUGUCUGUGCAGAUAAUCGAGUGGGGAAGGAGUCUGCAGUUUGGAUAUGAUUGUUGGGACCAAGCUUUCCAUUUCAGAAUCUGUUACUUUUUUGCUGCUUCUGUUUGAUUGUGCGUUGAGGUAAUCAUAUGUUUUUGUUUUUCUAACCUUUACCAUUGAGGUUACCAGAGGUUAGAGUUCACCUUCAAGAAAAUGACCUAUUUUACCCCUAUGAUUUUUAACAAGGACAGGCGGAAUUUUCAAGGUGCAUAUGAAAUCUUUAGGCGUGCUAGUCAUUUUUAUAUAUGACCAGGGGAUGUGGCAUGAGCAACACAUGUAAAGAGAAUGUGAGAGAGGAGAAAUCAAAAAAGGGAGAGAAAUCGCAGCGAAGGUGCCGGCAUACAGAGAACAAGAAAAAGAGAAGGGGGCUCAUGCUCAUGGUUUCAAUGGUGGGUACCUAUUUCCGUGUUUCCUAAGUUGUGGUCCACUCAGGUUUUUAAGGCUGAUGUCCUAAUGUGAGCCGGCAUAACAGAUGUAUAAUAUGGAUUUUCACAUAGUCACCAUAAUGGACACCAUGGACCCUUUGUUGCGCAGGCUCUAAUUCGUGUUGGCAAAGAGAUGUUUGAGGGGGCUGCUCGCAGUAAAGAAUUGAAAAGAUGAGCUAGAAUCUAAGUUAUUAUAGGCUUUAACGGG